UCCCUGGAGGACUAGUCGUUAGGCCAUGGCACUUUCACUGCUGUGGCCCGGGUUCAAUUCCUGGCCAGGGAA